rnacentral:siRNA from 1 species
UAGCUGUUUGUCAUGUUCCUCGUU